ACUAAAUCAGUUGAUGUAAAGGAAUUGCAGGAUUGAAAUGUCUGCAGCGUUUUAGUCUUGUAAAUUCCUUUGGGUUUACUGAUAAAAA